rnacentral:rRNA from 1 species
CCUGGCUCAGAUUGAACGCUGGCGGCAUGCCUAACACAUGCAAGUCGAACGGCAGCACGGUCUAGUUUACUAGAUGGGUGGCGAGUGGCGGACGGGUGAGUAAUGCGCAGGAAUAUGCCUUAAAGCGGGGGACAACUUGGGGAAACUCAAGCUAAUACCGCGUAAUCUCUUCGGAGAAAAGCUGGGGACCUUCGGGCCUGGCGCUUUAAGAUUAGCCU